rnacentral:sRNA from 1 species
UUGAAGCAAGCUUCUUUCUUAAAUGGUAUUUUAAUGCCUUUUUUAAACGAUAGGGUAGUUGCAUGGCUCGUAUUGCAGGGGUAAACAUUCCAAAU